CCUACGGGAGGCAGCAGUGAGGAAUAUUGGUCAAUGGACGAGAGUCUGAACCAGCCAAGUAGCGUGAAGGAUGACUGCCCUAUGGGUUGUAAACUUCUUUUAUAUGGGAAUAAAACGUUCCACGUGUGGGAUUUUGUAUGUACCAUAUGAAAAAGGAUCGGCUAACUCCGUGCCAGCAGCCGCGGUAAUACGGAGGAUCCGAGCGUUAUCCGGAUUUAUUGGGUUUAAAGGGAGCGUAGGUGGAUUGUUAAGUCAGUUGUGAAAGUUUGCGGCACAACCGUAAAAUUGCAGUUGAAACUGGCAGUCUUGAGUACAGUAGAGGUGGGCGGAAUUCGUGGUGUAGCGGUGAAAUGCUUAGAUAUCACGAAGAACUCCGAUUGCGAAGGCAGUUCACUGGACUGCAACUGACACUGAGGCUCGAAAGUGUGGGUAUCAAACAGGAUUAGAUACCCUUGUAGUC
rnacentral:rRNA from 1 species